rnacentral:misc_RNA from 1 species
UCCGGCUUACACCGGCGGUCUCCUGUGAGUUCCCGACUUUCUCGCUGGUAACACAGGACGAGGGUUGCGCUCGUUGGCGGACUUAACCGUACACCUCACGGCACGAGCUGACGACAGCCAUGCAACAAGUGUCUUCACGUCCUCCUUUUGGGAGGAAGGCCCUAUCUCUAGGGCUUUCGAUCGAUGUCAAGCCCAGGUAAGGUUCUUCGCGUUGCUUCGAAUUGAACCACAUGCUCCACCGCUUGUGCAGGCCCCCGUCAAUUCCUUUGAGUUUUAAUCUUGCGACCGUACUCCCCAGGCGGGGUGCUUAAUGCGUUUGCUGCGCCACCGACCGGCAUGCCGACCGACGGCUAGCACCCAUAGUUUACGGCGUGGACUAC